CGGACGUUACGUCACGCGUGCUAAUGGUUAAUGGCUUCCUCGGUCGAGCUAUCUUUUAUGAGCGAGCCAAAAUCCAAUCGAAAGAAAACACAUGAGACAUGAUGCGAUCGGCCGCUAGAUUCAUAAAAAUAUGAUCGCCUGAGCGCCGUACGGUCGCGGUACAGAUUAAUUUUUGGCCAAGGGAAUAUCGUUCGUCCGCGAGUAAUGUGCUGAAAUUGCUCUGCGCGAAGAAGCAACGACGAGCGAGACGACGUAACCGUUACGCACCCUCAUCGACCUUUAACGUGCUGGUUUCGGGCCUGAUGCGAAGGACACCGAGGCUUGCCACGACGCCGCAGGACAUACAUCGCACUAGGUGACAUGCCUAGCACUCGUGAUAUCGAACGAGCCGAACGUAAUGGGAGGUUUCGCUCACGAAGAAGAGGCAGUACAGGCAGUGACGUGAAUCGGCACAGUUUUGACAGUACUGACAAGCGGCACAGGAGGCAUGGCAAGAGCAAGAGCUCUGGAAAGAAGAAAAAGAAACGUUCGCGCGACAAGUCACUGGAGAACGUUCCAACUGUAGCUUCGUCGGUUGUCAAACCAUUAGUCGAGUAUUCUGACGUAAGUAGCGAGGACCUCUCCGAGCCAGAAGCGGGGGAGAUACAGUCGGAGGAUAGUCGCGCGAAUAGUUAUACGGAUGGCGAAGUACCUGAACCGCUCCUUCAGAGGCGAUAUUACGGCGGCAGUCCGGUACGAGCUCUUGGAGCAUCGCCUAUCAGUCUGUCGCCGUCACCGCCGGUUCAACACCGACACUCCGGUAGACACUAUUCCUCACCCAAUGAGCAGCAACAGCCGACGACGAUGCACGGCGCGAGCUCGGAAUAUGAGGAGGAAUCGAGACGAUACGCUCGACGGAAAGAGAAGAAGCACAAACGCGAGAAGAAGAAGAAGAGGAGCCCGAGUCCGUCGUCGAAUUCCGGGAAGAAGAAGAAGAGAAAAUCCAAGAGGCACUCUCACAGUCUGAGCCCACAUCGCACCAUCACCGAGGAGAUCAUCCUGAGUCCGGAUCAUGAGAAGCAAUCGCCAUCGAGCGCCGCCGUUGCCAAUUGGUCAGAAUCGCCCCUGUUGCCGUUAAAUAGCACGUCGCCGAUUUCACCGGCCACGCCGCAAGAGCAGAGGUGUCCCAGUGAUGACGCGGAGAUCGAGAUGUCGAGGCAGACGUGCCGGAACGUCACGCCACCGCCAAUGUUGUCGGCGCGACAGACGGAAUCGCCGCACACGCCGCUGCUGCCUCCACGUGCCGGCGCUACCACGCCGGAAAAUCUGAAUAAGGUCACGUUGGUGUCGAAGCACAGCAGUCCCGACCGGCAAAAACGCAGUCCCAGUAUUCACGCAGUGCGACGCGCCAGCAUCAGUCCCGCACCCGUCGGCCCGAGUCGUAGGCGGCCUCACAGCCCAAGCCCACCGUCGAGGCGAAGGGAUCACAGUUCACCGCCGCGAAGAAGAGAUUUCAGUCCUAACCCGGUACUGCAUAGGCUCAGGCAUAGUCCGAGCCCGGCUACGGUCAGACGACGGGAAUUCAGUCCGAGUCCCGUGAGCAGGCGACGAACCGACAGUGGAGCUGCGUCUCCCAAGCGCAGGAGACGAGAUGAGCCCGAUCGACGUCACCGGCAUCACGACAAGGACAGGAGGGACAAACGGAAAUCGAGAUCGACCAGAAGCCCCACUGGAAGCAGAUUACACAUGCCGCUAUCCCGAUCGCGAUCCCGCAGUCCGGGAAGAUGGCGCAAGUUGUCACGCUCGAGGUCGCGCUCACGCAGAAGGAGUCGCACCCCGAAGAAAUCGCGCUCGCCCAGCAAAUCACACAAAUCAACGAGGAAACACAAAUCGAAGAGCCCGCGCCCUAGAAUACCUUCGCCUUCCCCUCACAGGUCCCGCGCUAGAAGCCCGUCGAGCAUCACCGCUCGAAAUCUCCGGGUGCAAGCGAAAAUUAGCGAGACCAGUCUGUUCGCAGAGCUGGUGAAGGAUCGGAACAUGCGGGAGUUGGCGUACAAAAAGUUACAGGCGGCGAAGGAGAAAGCUGUGAAUCAGGACGAGGUGCAGAUCAUAGAAGGCACCGACGAGAAGGACGGCGGUAGCAGCAACGUGUCCUCCGAGAACAAAACUUCCACUGACAAUAAGGACAGAUCCGUUAAUCACAAGGAGCAUGCUAGUAAGAGCGGCGAGGGCGCAGUUAAAUGCGUUGACGUCGUCGACAUUCCUAUUCCAACCAGUGACGAGGUCGCCUUGGCGGGCAAGACGCCGCCGUUGCCGCCGACUGGGCAACCAGUCGGCGCACCGUUGCCUCCCACGGCGACGAAUCCUCUCGUGCCCCAUGCGAUUGUACAUAACUCUCCCAACAACCCACCCAUAAUACCCAACAACUGCCCAACAAUCACCGUAUCACACAGCCCGAAUUUCCCGGCUCCGGCUCCCGGUGUGCAACAACCACCGCCGCCGCCGCUGCCGCCACCACUGCCUCAGUCCGCCGAGUCGACAGUCUUGCCGCAAAUAUCCGUGUCUGUACCUAUUACGGUGCCGCCAAUCCCGCCAACGCCGGUUCUACCGAACAUGUCUGUCCCACCGCCGCCGAUCCCGCCGAUUCCCGUUCCGGCACCGAACACGAUCAUGUCCAAGUUCAAUCCACCAAAUAAUCUCGUACCGUUGAAGUCGGUGGAUCCUCCGAAGCCACCGAUAGUAACAUUUACGACGAAAAGUCUGAAGCGAUUGCCCUUGCCACCUGGCAUCAAUCAGAACGAUUUGGAGAGCAUAGACUCUCCACCGAGUCGUUCCCCGAGUCCUCCAAAUAAGGCGCAGCUCAAGUUCCCACCGUCGACGCCGAAGCCACCGCUGAAGAAGGGCAUCAAGGACUUGCCGAUGCCACCAGUUGUACCUGGAUCGGAAGACCUGAGCGGUGAGGACGACCCGAACGCGACGCCGCCGCGCUCGAAGGUCGAGCGGGUUGCACCAAAGCCGAAACUGAAGAGACCGAAAAUACUGAAGCGCAGAGGGUCACGCAACUGCCACACUCCCAUGUCCGCCUCCGGCGGCAAGGACUGGGGCGAACGUUGCGUUGACGUUUUCGAGUUUAUAACGCAGAUCGGGGAAGGUACUUACGGACAGGUGUACAAGGCACGGGACAAACGGGCCGGCGUGCUGGUAGCGCUGAAGAAAGUCAGGCUUGAGAAUGAGAAGGAGGGAUUCCCCAUCACGGCGGUCAGAGAAAUCAAGAUUUUACGACAGCUCAAUCACAAGAACAUUGUUAAUCUUAGGGAAGUUGUUACCGACAAGCAAGACGCAUUGGACUUCCGGAAGGAUAAGGGUUCCUUUUACUUGGUCUUCGAAUACAUGGACCACGACUUGAUGGGCUUGUUGGAAUCCGGUAUGGUGGAUUUCAACGAGAUGAAUAACGCCAGCAUCAUGAAGCAACUGCUGGACGGCCUGAAUUACUGUCACAGCAAGAACUUUCUGCAUCGAGACAUCAAGUGCUCGAACAUAUUGAUGAACAACAAAGGCGAAGUUAAACUGGCUGACUUCGGAUUAGCGCGACUGUAUAACGCGGAGGACAGGCAAAGGCCGUACACCAAUAAGGUGAUCACUCUGUGGUACAGACCCCCGGAACUUCUGCUAGGAGAGGAACGUUACGGUCCGGCGAUUGACGUGUGGAGCUGCGGGUGUAUCUUGGGGGAAUUGUUCUCGAAGAAACCUUUGUUCCAGGCGAGUGUAGAUAUGAUGCAGUUGGAGAUGAUUUCGAGGGUUUGUGGAACGCCUACUCCCGCUGUCUGGCCUUCGGUGAUCAAACUGCCGCACUGGCACACACUCAAGCCAAAAAAGCAGCACAGGAGACGACUGAGGGAGGAUUUCGCGUUCAUGCCCGGGCCAGCGUUGGACCUGCUGGAUAAAAUGUUGGUAUUAGAUCCGGAGAAGCGCAUAACGGCGGCUGACGCGCUCAAGAGCGCUUGGCUGAAGAACGUUCAGCCUGAACAGAUGCCAGCGCCGCAACUUCCGACUUGGCAGGAUUGUCAUGAACUUUGGUGUAAAAAGCGAAAGCGCUUGCUACGAGAACAGCAAGAGAGCACUGCGGCGAAGAUGCCUCUCCUUCCCUUCCCGAAUAAAGGAGGCCCCCACCCGAAGGAUGAUCUGUCAGAUGUCGGGGGGAGAUAAUAUAAUUGCGGCUGAAUAAUAGACGGACAAAUUUUGUAGCACUUGUAAAGAAUAUAUAAUAGGUCUUCUAAACGACUAA
rnacentral:misc_RNA from 1 species